rnacentral:misc_RNA from 1 species
AGAGAGAGAGAGAGAGAGAGAUAUGGAUAACUUGCAGUAGCAUGCAUGCAGGCUCCUUACAAUGUUCCCUGGCCUUGUAUAUCCUUCACGUUGCCGUUGAGUGUUAACCCAAAUUGGGUGUGAGGGAGAUAUGCCCACUGCAGAAAUAAAUUGUCAGUUCUUUUUUCUUAUUUAAUUUCUUCAACUCAUGCAUGCAUGCAAUAGAAACCAAGAUGUCAACUCUUGAUCACUGAUAUCCAAAAUCGAUCUAAUUAAAAUUGGCACUCAAGAGUAAUAAUUUUGAAUAUAACAUAUCGAUUAGAUGAGUGCACCCUUAAUAUCAAAUUGAAAAGAGAUUUAAUUUUGAUUUACAUUUAUAAAUUGAUUUGACAAUACCAUUAAUCAUAUAGACUAUAAGAGAAUGUUUUUAAGUUAAUAAAUUAUUUAAGUCAUAUUUUAAAAUAAACCUAUAAGAUAUAGUACUAUUGAAAAUACGGACUAUAAAAAGGAGGAUUUUUCUUAUCUAAACUCAGUCCUGAUAAUUAUACGGUGAGACUCACCUAUUAAAUAAAUGAGUCUUACAUAUUUAUAUAUUAGGUUUAUAACAUAUUAGAUUUAGGCAAGAAUUUCCCCUAUAAAUAAAAAUCAGUGUCUUCCAACUUACAUUUUUGGCAGCAGUGCUGAAAGCUUCUUUAUGGCUAAUGUUAGGAUUAUUUGCCUUUAACCUUCGAAUUUCCUCCCUUGAAAAAAAUGUAUAUAUAUAUAAAAGUGCAUAGCAUUGAUAUUAUGUGCAGUGGCAGGCAUGAACAAUAGUGCUUUGCAAACAAAUCAAGAAUUAAUUAAAAUAAAUAAUACUCACUUGAUAAAUUUAUUGUAUGCUGAAGGAGCACGUUGUCUUUUCCCCUUUGCAGCAUGCACCGAAAGUGUUUUGGGAUGUUCGUUUUCUGAUGAAGAAUCUGAUGCUGAAACUUCAUUGGACUUGGAAGACCUAGAAUCCUCACUUAAAUAUUGAUAAAAUAUAUUUUGCUUCUGCAAAAAUUCCAUAAUUAAAACAAAAAAAGAAAUUUAAGAGCUUUAUUAAUUCAAAUUAUGACUAAGCACUGAUCUUCUCACAUGAACAUUUUGCAGAUGAUGAGUAUUCUGUGGCAAAGCGCCUGUGUACAAAGACAACAAAUUAGAACAAUGCCCACAUUUGACAGUCACAGCAUUGAACGUGAUAUUGCCUGGAACAUUCACCUGGAAGAAAAGAUUAUCCAAAUAUGAAAAUAAGAAUGAGUUUGCAAAUGGAACUUACAUGAAAAUGGGAGAUUCUUGAUGAGCAAAUGGGAGAUUUUAUAUGUAGCACAUGUGACAAUAUGCAAAAGUGUAAACUAACAUUGUAGCCUUGUUCAUGAAAAUGGAAAACUGGUAGCAUAUGGCAGGUUUCUAAUAGAGUAAUUAUUGAACAUUUGAAUUGCCAAAUAAUUUAUGAUUAUUAUUUUUCUUAGAAGACAAAUUCAAAUUCAUCCUCCUUUCAAUUGAAACACAGCCAAAUGUAUCUAACAGAAUUUGUAUCAAUUUCAACAUUUCCAGUGCGCCUGACACCUUCUGCAGUGAAACUGUAAAAGUGGGGGGAAAGAUCGAAAGCGAGAGAGAGAAGAAAACGACAUGACAAAAACCAGGAAGCAGCUGUAAGCACGGCUCUGGAACAAGGCCAUGAAGAAAAGAUAGAGAGAUGAAUCCAUGAAAAGAUUUGCCUCCCUUGUUUCAGUCUGUAAUCAAAUCUUUGUCACUGAUUUUCUUAAAGUAAGAAAACAAAGUAUAUAUAUCCGUACCCCAAGAUCGAUAAAAGAGGAUUUGGUUAUCAAACUUUGUUAAGCGAAGAUAAAGCUAAAGGUUGGUUUAAGUUUUCUUCACAAGGAUAGCUAGUAGGAGCUCUAACCAAAACCAGGGGAAAAAAAAAAAUUCCCUGCUGUUAUACACUUAAGGGUUUUAGAUGGUUUUCUUGUUUUAGGGCUGUAUCAGUUAAUCUUUUAGUAAAGCUUUCAAGCUGGCACCAAUCAAGAGAGAGAGAGAGAGAGAGAAUACAGAGAAGGUAUUUCUUGUGUUAAUGAUUGUUUGAUGGACUCAUUACAAUCUCAAGCUUUAUACAAGAAUUACAUUUUCCCGCCACCCUCUGUUAUACAAUUAGCGGCAGCUGCAACCAAUCUCCAAUUCACCAACUGCGCUCUUUGAGUAUUAUUGACUCAGCUAUCACACACAUCACAGCUCACACAGCCACAACAAUACUUUUACAUGAAUAUCUCUGUUAAGGCUCGCUCCAUAUUCAGAUACUGUUUGAACCAAAUGGAUCAUAAUUUGGAUGAAGCACCAGAGAGUGCAUGACUGACCAACUCCCGCCUGAGGAUCUUCCCUCCAGGAGAUUUUGGAAUAGAGUUGAUAAAACCUACUCGCCUUAUCUUCUUGUACGGUGCAACCUUUUUUGCAAUGAAAUCCAUAACUUGAGCCUCAGUGAUACUGCUUCCAGGUUUUCUCACAACAUAGGCCAUGGGAAUUUGUCCUGCCUCUUCAUCAGGGUACCUGCUUCCAGAUAACACAAAAUGAGAGAACCUGUUCUCUCUUCAAAAGGAAACAAAAUAUGCAUAACAGCAAUGAAAUUCCAUAAACAUGCUAAUACACCAUGAAAACUGCGACUAGUGCUCUUCCAUAUUCUUGGCCCCCCCAAACCAUUGACCCUCUGUAUAACUAGUUUCCAUGCUUUUGGCCCUCCAUCUUAUUGACUUUAAAUAUGGUAAACAAUCUUGCUAUUUAUUUCUAACCAUUCGCCAAGAUAGGAAAAUAUGGAUUACUCCCUAGAUAAUUAUUAGUUAAAACUGUCAUAACAAGCUCUCCAAAAUUCAGAAUUUACAGGUUUAGACAAUUUUUAUCUAAUCCCACUAGGAAAACAUUAAACGGUUUCAACAAGCAAAUCAUCUUUAUUGGGAUUCUCAACAGAUGAAUCUCUUUCACUUUAAUCACAUUUCAAGUUAUUGAAUUGGCUAAGAACAUCUUGUCAAUUUAUUGAUCCAGCAAAGGUGAAGCAAAAGCAAGAAUGAAGGUAGCAAACAAAAAAUGUGAAGAAACUGUACGUAUGCCUCCUAUGCUGUAUAUUGCCCAACAAAUUCAGAGAACUACAGAAGAAUCUAUGCCUUAAGAGCAGUACUAUACUACUAAACACUAACAUUAUUUUGUAUUUUUCAAUUGGGCCCUAUGCAUAUCAGUUUCUCGUAUUUAGAUAAAUAAUCUUCCUUCUUCACAAAGAUGACAAUAUGAGGAGAUAUCCAUGAAAGAGAACCUUGGUAAAUAGAUUAGUUGCAUAGAACUGAUAGAAGCGUGAGCAACUUCCUAUCAAAUUUUGCAAGGAUACAGAAAACUAUGAAAUAGAAAUAAAAUGCAAGUAUGAUGUUUUCAGCAUGUGCAGCAGAUAAAAUGGCUAGACACUCACGGAACUACAGCAGCAUCAGCAAUUUCAGGAUUGGAUUGUAACAGUUGUUCCAAUUCAGCUGGAGGCACCUGAUAUGCUUUGUAUUUUAUCAGUUCCUUUAACCUAUCAACAACAUAGAGGAAACCCUGAGAGUCAAAAUAACAAAGAUCCCCAGUCUUUAACCAACCCCCCGAAUCCAAGGUUUCAGCAGUUGCCUUCUCAUCUCCUACAUAACCUUUCAUGAUAGUUGGCCCUCGCAACCACAGCUCCCCUCUCUGGCCAGCAGGCAAAGCCUCUCCAGUUACAGGAUCAACAAUCUUAGCUUCCAUAUUUUCGGCCAGGCGACCAACAGAGCCAAGCAUCUUGCACUCUUCAGGAUCUGUCAUCCUUGUCGCCCCACCUCCAGUUUCAGUCAACCCAUAUCCCUGGACAAUUUCCACCUGUGGGAAUUUUUCCUUGAAUCUAUCGGCGACCUCCUUACCCAGAGGUGCACCGCCGCAUCCCAGCAACAACAACGAGCUCAAAUCAUACUUUUUGGUCAAUUCCGAUUUCACAAACGCCACAAUCAGCGGCGGCGAAACCGGCAUGUAAUUGACCUUGUACUUCUCCACGACUCUCAACAUUCCUUCAAAAUCAAACCUCUCCAUCAAGACCACCGUCUCCCCCAGCGCAGCAGCAGUUAACAACAUAAUGAAUCCAAAAACGUGAAACAUUGGCAGCGUAAAAAGUGAUACUAGGUGAGGUUCCGGUUCAUUCGGGUCUACCCUGUUGUUGUGAAGGACCCCAGAGAUUAAGGCGAUCAGGUUCCGGUGAGUCAAAGAUACGCCUUUGACCCUCCCGGUUGUUCCUGAGGAGUAGAGAAUUGCAGCGGUGUCAGACUGUUUGACCUCAAGUCGGUUGACUCGGUCAUGGGUGGUGGCAUUUGAUAGGGUCAACAGCGAGAUGAACUCAGGCGAGUCGAUGAGGAUGGUUCCGAA